GGUUGAUCCUGCCGGAGGCCAUUGCUAUUGGGAUCCGAUUUAGCCAUGCUAGUCGCACGAGUUCAGACUCGUGGCGAAUAGCUCAGUAACACGUGGCCAAACUACCCUUCGGAACACAAUACCCUCGGGAAACUGAGGCUAAUAGUGUAUACCAUACCACCACUGGAAUGAGUGGUAUGCCAAACGCUCCGGCGCCGAAGGAUGUGGCUGCGGCCGAUUAGGUAAACGGUGGGGUAACGGCCCACCGUGCCAAUAAUCGGUAUGGGUCAUGAGAGUGAGAACCCAAAGACGGAAUCUGAGACAAGAUUCCGGGCCCUACGGGGCGCAGCAGGCGCGAAACCUUUACACUGCACGACAGUGCGAUAGGGGGAUCCCAAGUGCACAGGCAUAGCGCCUGUGCUUUUCGGUACCCUAAGGCGGUACCAGAAUAAGGGCUGGGCAAGACCGGUGCCAGCCGCCGCGGUAAUACCGGCAGCCCAAGUGAUGGCCGAUCUUAUUGGGCCUAAAGCGUCCGUAGCUGGCCGCGCAAGUCCAUCGGGAAAUCCACCUGCUCAACAGGUGGGCGCCCGGUAGAAACUGCGUGGCUUGGGACCGGAAGCGCGACGGGUACGUCCGGGGUAGGAGUGAAAUCCCGUAAUCCUGGACGGACCGCCGAUGGCGAAAGCACGUCGCGAGAACGGAUCCGCCAGUGAGGGACGAAAGCCAGGGUCUCGAACCGGAUUAGAUACCCGGGUAGUCCUGCCCGUAAACAAUGUCUGCUAGGUGUGGCUCCCACUACGAGUGGGUGCUGUGCCGUAGGGAAGCCGCUAAGCAGACCGCCUGGGAAGUACGUCCGCAAGGAUGAAACUUAAAGGAAUUGGCGGGGGAGCACUACAACCGGAGGAGCCUGCGGUUUAAUUGGAUUCAACGCCGG
rnacentral:rRNA from 1 species